UACGUAGGGAGCAAGCGUUGUCCGGAAUCAUUGGGCGUAAAGCGCGCGUAGGUGGCUUCGUAAGUCCGUUGUGAAAGUCAAAGGCUCAACCUUUGAAAGCCGAUGGAUACUGUGGAGCUAGAGUACGGAAGAGGCGAGUGGAAUUCCUGGUGUAGCGGUGGAAUGCGCAGAUAUCAGGAGGAACACCAAUAGCGAAGGCAGCUCGCUGGGACGUUACUGACACUGAGGCGCGAAAGCGUGGGGAGCGAACAGGAUUAGAACUACGUGUCAGUC
rnacentral:rRNA from 1 species